rnacentral:rRNA from 1 species
GACGCCUACGUAGCAGGGGUGGCUUGGGGUACGGAUAUGGGAACUUGGCUGCAGACCAGGCCUCUGGUUACAGUUGCAGGCGACACACUGUUCGUCCACGCUGGGAUCUCGCCUUUUGUGCUGGAAAAAUACAGCAUUAAGGAUUUGGCCAGUUUGGAACAGUUGUCGAGUUUGGUGCAGAACGCUCAGACACAGAACCAGACAGAGCAGCUGCUAGAAAACGAACCUGGCAUCAUUAGCCUCCUCGAGUACCGGAUGUGGCACAAGAAAUGCCAGGAAGUAGAAGAUGUGUUGAGCAGGUUUGCAGCAGACGGAGUACGGAGAUUAGCUGUGGGGCACGUUGCAGAAUACUGGCCCGUCGCGCGCUGCAAGAAGAGACUGCUCGCCACAGACGCUUCGCUCGGGAGGUGGUUUAGGCAGUACGACAACUACUACUGCCCUUCUUCUAACGUGAGCAGGAACUUGAUGCAGUCGAGUGACUACUGCUCUGUUCCGUUGGCAGAACAGUGCGAAGGUGGGAUCCUCAAACUGACCAGAGGAGCUGCUGUACCAACUGCUGCUGGUGCUGCUGGUGCUGGUGAAUGGACCCACGAAUUUGUGAUAGUAGGUGAACCUUCUGAGCGCUUCCCAGCUCCCGAGGAACACGAAGAGAGCACAAUCCUGCUCCCUCCUGCAGAGCAACAGGAAUCUGCUGCUCCUGCCCCCCCUCCUCCGCCCCAAUAACACCCUGC